rnacentral:rRNA from 1 species
CCUACGGGCGGCAGCAGUGGGGAAUAUUGGACAAUGGGGGCAACCCUGAUCCAGCCAUGCCGCGUGUGUGAAGAAGGCCCUCGGGUUGUAAAGCACUUUCAGUGAGGAAGAACGCCUGGUGGUUAAUACCUAUCAGGAAAGACAUCACUCACAGAAGAAGCACCGGCUAACUCCGUGCCAGCAGCCGCGGUAAUACGGGGGGUGCGAGCGUUAAUCGGAAUUACUGGGCGUAAAGCGCGCGUAGGUGGCUUGAUAAGCCGGUUGUGAAAGCCCCGGGCUCAACCUGGGAACGGCAUCCGGAACUGUCAAGCUAGAGUGCAGGAGAGGAAGGUAGAAUUCCCGGUGUAGCGGUGAAAUGCGUAGAGAUCGGGAGGAAUACCAGUGGCGAAGGCGGCCUUCUGGACUGACACUGACACUGAGGUGCGAAAGCGUGGGUAGCAAACAGGAUUAGAUACCCGAGUAGUC